rnacentral:siRNA from 1 species
GAAGAAGAACAAAAGUGUGGGCA